CCUAGUCUUCAAGGAUAAUUGUCUCUACGCAAUGAACUCAUGGCCCUUGAUGAAUUGCUCCAGAUAUUUUGAAUUGAUACACAAAUCACACAAUCAGUUUCAUAUUUUUGUAUACACAUGGAGAAUCUAUCCUCGGUAAAUAGUGGCAGGAAGGUUGGAAAAAGGUCAGCUUGAGCUACUGAAUUGUAGAGUCAUCCAGAGUAGACAGAGGUAGGUUAAACCCAAUCAUUCAAGCGCCAUAUAAAUGGAGUAUAGAUCCUCAAGGAAAUAAGAACAUAAAAUCAAGCAAAUGAUACAUGUGCAAGCAGACAAACAAUUAACUUCAAUGCUAUACUAUUCACAGAUGCUUCACUAAAUAACUUCCUUCCCACAAGAUGAAAACAAUAAUGCAUGAUGGUACUAGUGGAUGACACUGAGCACCUGAAAUUCUCAGCCAGUUGUACUUGACGGAUACCCAUUAGAUUUGACUUGGAAAUUUUACAGAAUUCACAAGUAAAUCUCACUACAGUAGGCAUUCCAUCAAGAAGAUUAACAAUAGAUUUUUAUAAAGUUUAAAACCUGGCCAAUAAGAGGAAAAUAUAGCUGUGCAAUAUAUAAUUUAUCUUCAGGCUUUUGGUAACGAGCAUCAAACUCAUGCUUGCAUAAGAUAACUACUAACAUUCUUGCUG
rnacentral:misc_RNA from 1 species